GACGAACGCUGGCGGCGUGCUUAACACAUGCAAGUCGAACGGAAAGGCCCUGCUUUUGUGGGGUGCUCGAGUGGCGAACGGGUGAGUAACACGUUAGUAACCUGCCCUUGACUUUGGGAUAACUUCAGGAAACUGGGGCUAAUACCGGAUAGGAGCUCCUGCUGCUUGGUGGGGGUUGGACAGUUUCGGCGGUUGGGGAUGGACUCGCGGCUUAUCAGCUUGUUGGUGGGGUAGUGGCUUACCAAGGCUUUGACGGGUAGCCGGCCUGAGAGGGUGACCGGCCACAUUGGGACUGAGAUACGGCACAGACUACUACGGGAGGCAGCAGUGGAGAAUAUUGCACAAUGGGCGGAAGCCUGAUGCAGCAACGCCGCGUGCGGGAUGACGGGCUUCGGGUUGUAAACCGCUUUCGCCUGUGACGAAGCGUGAGUGACGGUAAUGGGUAAAGAAGCACCGGCUAACUACGUG
rnacentral:rRNA from 1 species